rnacentral:rRNA from 1 species
GUGGGGAAUCUUGCGCAAUGGGCGAAAGCCUGACGCAGCCAUGCCGCGUGAAUGAUGAAGGUCUUAGGAUUGUAAAAUUCUUUCACCGGGGACGAUAAUGACGGUACCCGGAGAAGAAGCCCCGGCUAACUUCGUGCCAGCAGCCGCGGUAAUACGAAGGGGGCUAGCGUUGCUCGGAAUUACUGGGCGAAAAGGGCGCGUAGGCGGACCGUUUAGUCAGAGGUGAAAGCCCAGGGCUCAACCUUGGAAUUGCCUUUGAGACUGGCUGUCUUGAGUACGGGAGAGGUGAGUGGAACUCCGAGUGUAGAGGUGAAAUUCGUAGAUAUUCGGAAGAACACCAGUGGCGAAGGCGACUCACUGGCCCGUUACUGACGCUGAGGCGCGAAAGCGUGGGGAGCAAACAGGAUUAGAUACCCUUGUAGUCC